CGAGACCGACGCCUUACCACUUGGCCACCGCGCCUGCCAUGGAAACCCACCGACAGUUUUGUACUCGUACCAUUCAGAAAAUCCGAAUAACUGGUUAUAAUUCGUUAUGUUAUCGUGAAGAAUCCAGUGUUUGUACGAAGAGAUUCGACACGACGAUGAUGACGAGCUGAGACCCGGAAGUAGAUGAAUCCCUGCGGCUUGGAUUACAGUCUUUUGGCCGGAACAUUUUAAAAAUGUGAUGACAGUCGCACGAGCGCAGGCACGCGCGUGAGAUUCUGGAGGUUUGUGCUUCUAAGGCCUCUGCAGGAGCCGUAGGGGGGUCUGCAGCUUAGCCCCCGUGCCUCAGUAUGCCGCUCGUGGUGGAUGCUGUGUGGGCGCUGUGGAGCAUUGGAGCUGGGGUCUACGACUACUUCCACACCAGCGCCAUGGAGGAGAGGAUACACACUCUGGAGAACGUCCUCUCCAUCCACCAGUUUGUCAUCGCAGGCCUGUCGGCCGGCCUCAUCCUGCUCAUGACCUACAUCCUCUGGAGAAAACACUGAAACACUGUCAUCAGUCUGAUCCUUCCGGAUCGAAAUGAUCUGAGAGGCCGAGGAGCCGACAGCUCCAGAGACCAGGAGCUUUGCUAACACUUCCAGAGAAAUGUCUGUUUUAGAUUUCAAAGUAGACAGAAGCCCUAAACCACAAACAGGGGUGGCUCUGAAAAACUUUAUUGACACAUCAGUCUGGUGUGUUAUCACAUGAGGCGAUGAUAACCGUUCUUAAGAGCAAAACAUUUCCAUCUCCGAAGGGAUUAAAUCACUUUUCUUCUGCUGUUUUCAUUUGAAGUUUAUAAACGGGUUUUUAUAACCUUAAAAAGGCUUUAUUAUAUUUGAUGGUUAUUUUAUCUAAAAACUGACACUAAAACGUGAGUUUUUUUCUGGAACCUGAUGGAUUAACAGUGGGAUAUAGGAUCCUAUGAAAUGUUAAAAUCAGGUUUUCUAAUCAACAUUUAGCCUCCUGAUUGCCAAAAAAAUGUUCAGUCAUUUUUUUUUAAUCCACCAAAAACUAUAAUUCUCAGAGCCCCACCCUUUCACAUUAGGUAUCACUGGAAGCCCCAAAAGUCCUUCGUAGAAACUAAAAUGAAUUAAUUGAGUAAUGUGGGAGAUUUUCUGGUUAUAACACAUUUACAGUGCUGACGUCUAACUGAAGUGCUGGAUGCUGAAACAGCACAAACUGCUGCUUUAUCAGGCUUUAUGAUCUAAUGUGUCAGAGAUGCUGAGAUAAGGAUGUUGGAAAGAAGUUCAUCUGAACUCUGCUUCUGUGUGGGUUAUCAAACCUGAACUAACUUUAAAAUGCUUUAAAGACUGUAAGCAGGUCAUGCUGUGACUCGUUGAUUUAUUCCCAUGUAUUUAUUGUUCUGUUUUAAACGUUAGUGUCUGCACGUGUCCUGAUGCUUGUGUGACGUCUUACUGAGUCUGAGUUCGUCAUUUCUUCAUGUUUACUGACGCAGAUCUGACUCUGAACUGUGGCUUCUAUUAAAGGGAAAAGGACUCGACACAA